rnacentral:rRNA from 1 species
GAUGAACGCUGGCGGCGUGCUUAACACAUGCAAGUCGAACGGGAAACCUUUUAAUGAAGCUUCGGCAGAUUUAGCUGGUUUCUAGUGGCGGACGGGUGAGUAACGCGUGGGUAACCUGCCUUAUACAGGGGGAUAACAGUCAGAAAUGACUGCUAAUACCGCAUAAGCGCACAGGACCGCAUGGUCCGGUGUGAAAAACUCCGGUGGUAUAAGAUGGACCCGCGUUGGAUUAGCUUGUUGGUGGGGUAACGGCUCACCAAGGCGACGAUCCAUAGCCGGCCUGAGAGGGUGAACGGCCACAUUGGGACUGAGACACGGCCCAGACUCCUACGGGAGGCAGCAGUGGGGAAUAUUGCACAAUGGGGGAAACCCUGAUGCAGCGACGCCGCGUGAAGGAAGAAGUAUCUCGGUAUGUAAACUUCUAUCAGCAGGGAAGAUAGUGACGGUACCUGACGAAGAAGCCCCGGCUAACUACGUG